UAGUAACUCACAUGGACAACCCACUU
rnacentral:piRNA from 1 species